GGCCGGGGGCGGGGCCAGCUGGACCAGGGGCCUCUGGACCCCUGGCCAGCCCCGGCCGACUAGGUGGGCCUCGUGAUCGGAUCCUCGGUGUGGCCUCGUGGCCACCAGGAAUCCCAGUGCUGGACGCGCCCCAGGAGACCAGCGCCUCUCCCGACUGGAGAACGCUGGAGGGUCCUGCCAGGUGGGAACCUUCGAGCCUGCGGGUGUUUGCAGGCCCAGGCGGUCCAGUACCGCCUCCCGGUGUGGCUGGCCGUACUGCGGCUGCUUCAAGGGUGGGAGACCUUAGCUUCCGACAGCCCGCGGGGAGUUCAGCUCCACCAGCACUGAGAAGGUGUUCGGCAAAGUUUAAACCGACAAACAGCUUCCACUUUUGCUCCAUAAUCCAGCGGUGCUUAGCCCCCAGGGCGAAGACUUGGCGCUGGACUGGAUUCUUUUGUUGGAGAACCUGACCCUUUGGAAGAAACACAGGUGAGAAGCCAAAGUCCAGAGGUCACGUGACGAGGCCAUCUUGUGGGAAGUUGGGAGCCAGGCUUCCAGGCCCGGCCUGCCACAGCGCACGCCUCUCCCGUUUAGGAGAGGACCACGGGAUGACAGGGAGACGCGUGUGAGGAGCACAGCCAGCCUCGUCUGCUGCAGACCCCGGGGCGAGGGGCGCUGGUACCGGACCCCUCCCUCUGGCCCUGAAAACCACAAAGAGGGCCCGAGAGUGAGGGGCAGGAAAGGGGAAAUCAUGGGGAGUGAGGACUGCCGACAGACCUCAGAGCAGGAAGUGUUGCCACGCCUGGAGUUAGAUCAUUUUUGGAGGGCGAGGGGACUUCAUCCCUCCUCGCCAAGGGCCCCUCCUCCGCAGAAAGCCGAAGGGUGGGCAGUGACAACUGAAAGCACGCGGGAGGAGGCAGACAAUCGGAAAGACAGGCCUUUGGGUCCCCGAAAGCCACAGUAGGAGUAGGUGUGAACGAGACAAGAGGUCACAGUAAGCAGCGGCGGGUGGAUGCCCUGAGCCUGCGGCUUCUCUCCAGACCUGUGGACCACCUGUGACCUUGACCCGCGCCUCCCGGGCCUGCGCCUCAGUCUGCGCCUCUGUAAAGCGAGAAGAUUGGGCCGAUGCUCCCCCAGAUCCCUUCCAGACGCAAAGGCAAAGACGAGGCGUGCGGGUCCUCCCCGCGCCACCGCGGCCCACUCACCCCUCAGCCCACGGCCCUCAGCCAGCCC
rnacentral:lncRNA from 1 species